GACGAACGCUGGCGGCGUGCCUAAUACAUGCAAGUCGAACGAAGCUGUUUUAACUGGUGCUUGCACCGACUUAAACAACUGAGUGGCGAACGGGUGAGUAACACGUGGGUAACCUGCCCCAAAGCGGGGGAUAACAUUUGGAAACAGAUGCUAAUACCGCAUAACCACAGAAACCACAUGGUUUCUGUGUCAAAGAUGGUUUCGGCUAUCACUUUGGGAUGGACCCGCGGCGUAUUAGCUAGUUGGUAAGGUAAUGGCUUACCAAGGCAAUGAUACGUAGUCGAACUGAGAGGUUGAUCGGCCACAUUGGGACUGAGACACGGCCCAAACUCCUACGGGAGGCAGCAGUAGGGAAUCUUCCACAAUGGACGAAAGUCUGAUGGAGCAACGCCGCGUGAGUGAAGAAGGUUUUCGGAUCGUAAAACUCUGUUGUCAGAGAAGAUCGUGUGCGAGAGUAACUGUUCGUGCAGUGACGGUAUCUGGCCAGAAAGCCACGGCUAACUACGUGCCAGCCGCCGCCGUAA
rnacentral:rRNA from 1 species